rnacentral:lncRNA from 1 species
CCCGUGUAAUAGCCAUAAGCAUAAAGAACUCGUCCAACAAUCCAGGCCAAGCCCAGGCCAGAAGCUAUACGCGGGUGGUAAACACCUCCAACAGCUAGAAAAAAUAAGAAGGGAGGAUACACUUCCAACGUGUUCUGGUGGGCUCGCUGAAUGCAGUUGAAGAUGUGCCCAUUUUCAGGGUCCGUGCUGUACAUGAUAGGAU